ensembl:misc_RNA Metazoa_SRP Metazoan signal recognition particle RNA
GCUGGGCAUGGUGGUGCAUGCCUGUAAUCCCAGAUACUCAGGAGGCUGAGGCAGGAGAAUUGCUUGAACCCAGGAGGCGGAGGUUGUGGUGAGCUAAGGUCAUGCCACAGCACUCCAGCCUGGGUGACAGAGCAAGACUCUGUCUAAA